GMGGCCUAACACAUGCAAGUCGAGCGGUAGAGAGAAGCUUGCUUCUCUUGAGAGCGGCGGACGGGUGAGUAAUGCCUAGGAAUCUGCCUGGUAGUGGGGGAUAACGUUCGGAAACGAACGCUAAUACCGCAUACGUCCUACGGGAGAAAGCAGGGGACCUUCGGGCCUUGCGCUAUCAGAUGAGCCUAGGUCGGAUUAGCUAGUUGGUGAGGUAAUGGCUCACCAAGGCGACGAUCCGUAACUGGUCUGAGAGGAUGAUCAGUCACACUGGAACUGAGACACGGUCCAGACUCCUACGGGAGGCAGCAGUGGGGAAUAUUGGACAAUGGGCGAAAGCCUGAUCCAGCCAUGCCGCGUGUGUGAAGAAGGUCUUCGGAUUGUAAAGCACUUUAAGUUGGGAGGAAGGGCAUUAACCUAAUACGUUAGUGUUUUGACGUUACCGACAGAAUAAGCACCGGCUAACUCUGUGCCAGCAGCCGCGGGUAAUACA
rnacentral:rRNA from 1 species